rnacentral:rRNA from 1 species
GACGAACGCUGGCGGCGUGCUUAACACAUGCAAGUCGAACGGACAGGCCCUGCUUUUGUGGGGUUCUCGAUUGGCGAACGGGUGUGUAACACGUGAGUAACCUGCCCUUGACUUUGGGAUAACUUCAGGAAACUGGGGCUAAUACCGGAUAGGAGCUCCUGCUGCAUGGUGGGGGUUGGAAAGAUUCGGCGGUUGGGGAUGGACUCGAGGCUUAUCAGCUUGUUGGUGGGGUAGUGGCUUACCAAGGCUUUGACGGGUAGCCGGCCUGGGAGGGUGACCGGGCACAUUGGGACUGAGAUACGGCCCAGACUGCUAUGGGAGGCAGCAGUGGGGAAUAUUGCGCAAUGGGCGGAAGCCUGUUGCAGCAACGCCGCGUGCGUGAUGACGGCCUACGGGUUGUAAACCGAUUUCGCCUGUGACGAAGCGUGAGUGACGGUAAUGGGUAAAGAAGCACCGGCUAACUACGUG